UUAGCUCCUUCAAAGCGACUGCUAGAUUUCCAGGAGCAUCUGACUGGUAUAUGUGAGCACCCGCGUAGGGCUGUCCACCGGGUCAAUAGUCGGCGCCCUGGGCGACGCGUGGGCGCACCGCUGCAACACUCGAGUGCUGCUCUCAAGGGAAGGCGGUGAAAGGCGCGCGCUUUGUUUGAAGAGCAACUGUGGGGCUAACGCUGUGGGGAGGUUCAAGAUAACAGAAGAAGGAAUUCGGGAUGUAGACUAAGUAAAAUCAAUAAAACAACCAUUGAACAUACAUACUUCAAGUAAUGUUUAUUGUAAAUAUGUAUUGUAUAUCGUAAACAAAACUAGAGCACCAAUAAAUAUCUCAUUUCAUAAAAAUAUCAAGCUUUUAUUUCAAUAACAAUUAAUACAUUGUAAAGGCAGUUUCAAUAUCGGAACUAGAACAUUGCAAGGCAGACAUUCAACAACUGUAGCACUAUUAUGCUUCUACGACACUAGAGUAAGUAAAACUCGUUUGUAGUCUCCCUUCGUAUCAUCCUGCAAAAUAUGACACCGUUGUACUUUGAAACUUCUCGGGGCCGAAUCAUGUUAUUUAACUGCAUGCA